rnacentral:rRNA from 1 species
CAGCAGGCGCGAAAACUUUACAAUGCAGGAAACUGUGAUAAGGGAACCUCGAGUGCCCGUAAACACGGGCUGUCCAGGUGUUUAAAAAGCAUCUGAAGAAAGGGCCGGGCAAGACCGGUGCCAGCCGCCGCGGUAAUACCGGCGGCUCGAGUGGUGGCCGCUAUUAUUGGGCUUAAAGCGUCCGUAGCUGGAUUGUUAAGUCUCUUGGGAAAUCCGACGGCUCAACCGUCGAGCGUCUAAGGGAUACUGGCAAUCUUGGGAUAGGAAGAGGUGAGAGGUACUCCGGGGGUAGAAGUGAAAUUCUGUAAUCCUCGGGGGACCACCUGUGGCGAAGGCGUCUCACUAGGACUACUCCGACAGUGAGGGACGAAAGCUGGGGGAGCAAACCGGAUUAGAUACCCGGGUAGUCCCAGCCGUAAACGAUGCGCGUUAGGUGUAUCGGUAACCACGAGUUACCGAGGUGCCGAAGGGAAACCGUGAAACGUGCCGCCUGGGAAGUACGUC